GAACUUCGGGUCAAAAUGUCGGAUACCGGAAAAAUUCAGUAUGACGAAAGAUACAAAAACGAGAACUUUUUUGGCGUCUUCAAGCUGUGAAAAAAAUGAACAAUAUGGAUCGGUACAGAUCUGUAGCUGUCUAAAUACGACAGAUAGGCAUACUCUGCCACGGAGAGUACGUUCGGAACUCUCUUUGACCGGUGCCGCUUCAGAGACUAGCAAGCGUAGAAACGUUCCGGUUUAUGUCUAGUUGCUUUACAAGGCAUUGCAAUAUUCGUAUGAAAAACGAAUGCUUGUUGUGUGAAACGACACAUCUGUGAUACCUUUAUCAGGAGAUUUACUUCUGUUUUGCAUUCUUUGUGCCAAAAACUUGGGAUCCUCAAAAUGGGCCCUAAACACCAUCCUCCGUAUGUCUGAUACAGACAAAGAUAUGAUCCCAUCAUUUUGUAUUAUCGUAUGCGAUUUUACGAUUAUGCAAGUGUAUAUUUUUCAUCAAUCGCAUUAUAUUAGAGGAAAAAAUUCCAAAUUGUUAUAUAACAUACCUGUUAGAGUCAUUAAUACAUGUACUUGUUUUCAUGACAAUGUGCAAGUAUGUUUCCUAUGUUGUUUUUUAUGUUUGUUUGUUUCGUUUUGUUAAUGUUCAAUACUAAUGUCUUGUCUUUUUCUUUGUUCUUUACUAAGCUUCUUGAAUUCAGACAGGAACCUAGAUUCUGUUUUCACGAACAUUUCCAAAAAAAAUUUUUUUUUAUUAUCAAACGUAUUUUUUUAAAACGAGAACAUCGCUUAAAAUGGUAGCAUCGUAACUAGUCAAACGUUUCACAUUGAAACGUCAGCGCGAAGGUUGCAUGCAAAAUCAAUGCUCAAUUUGUUCUCUGUUAAGAAUGAUCUCAAAAGCAAUAUGAUACAAUCGAAAUGGCCUAGUUAUAUACAAAUAACACAUUCAUAUUAUGAUAUAUAUGUACUUUAUCAUUUUAUGUUCAGUUGUUGUAUCUAAUUGUUGCUAUAUUGUUAUAUUAAAUAAUGUGAAAAAU
rnacentral:misc_RNA from 1 species